UACAGAGGUCCCAAGCGUUGUUCGGAUUCACUGGGCUUAAAGGGCGCGUAGGCGGUCGAUCAAGUCUGGGGUGAAAUCUUUCGGCUUAACCGGAAAAGUGCCUUGGAUACUGGUUGACUGGAGGGAGGUAGGGGCAGUUGGAACUUCCAGUGGAGCGGUGAAAUGCGUUGAUAUUGGAAGGAACGCCGGUGGCGAAAGCGAGCUGCUGGACCUCUUCUGACGCUGAGGCGCGAAAGCUAGGGGAGCAAACGGG
rnacentral:rRNA from 1 species